rnacentral:rRNA from 1 species
CCGGUAAACGGCGGCCGUAACUAUAACGGUCCUAAGGUAGCGAAAUUCCUUGUCGGGUAAGUUCCGACCUGCACGAAUGGCGUAAUGAUGGCCAGGCUGUCUCCACCCGAGACUCAGUGAAAUUGAACUCGCUGUGAAGAUGCAGUGUACCCGCGGCAAGACGGAAAGACCCCGUGAACCUUUACUAUAGCUUGACACUGAACAUUGAGCCUUGAUGUGUAGGAUAGGUGGGAGGCUUUGAAGUGUGGACGCCAGUCUGCAUGGAGCCGACCUUGAAAUACCACCCUUUAAUGUUUGAUGUUCUAACGUUGGCCCGUAAUCCGGGUUGCGGACAGUGUCUGGUGGGUAGUUUGACUGGGGCGGUCUCCUCCUAAAGAGUAACGGAGGAGCACGAAGGUUGGCUAAUCCUGGUCGGACAUCAGGAGGUUAGUGCAAUGGCAUAAGCCAGCUUGACUGCGAGCGUGACGGCGCGAGCAGGUGCGAAAGCAGGUCAUAGUGAUCCGGUGGUUCUGAAUGGAAGGGCCAUCGCUCAACGGAUAAAAGGUACUCCGGGGAUAACAGGCUGAUACCGCCCAAGAGUUCAUAUCGACGGCGGUGUUUGGCACCUCGAUGUCGGCUCAUCACAUCCUGGGGCUGAAGUAGGUCCCAAGGGUAUGGCUGUUCGCCAUUUAAAGUGGUACGCGAGCUGGGUUUAGAACGUCGUGAGACAGUUCGGUCCCUAUCUGCCGUGGGCGCUGGAGAACUGAGGGGGGCUGCUCCUAGUACGAGAGGACCGGAGUGGACGCAUCACUGGUGUUCGGGUUGUCAUGCCAAUGGCACUGCCCGGUAGCUAAAUGCGGAAGAGAUAAGUGCUGAAAGCAUCUAAGCACGAAACUUGC